UUAGUUUCUCCCUCCUUCGCUAUGUGGCUGUUACUCCUGCUACUCAUUCUACUUCCAUUGCCGCUACUAUUUCGAUUGUUGUCAGGUACCAAACCCUAUACCAAAUAUUUGAUAUAUAUAUAUAUAUAUAUAUAUAUAUAUAUAUGUGUGUGUGUGUGUGUGUGUGUGUGGGUGUGUGUGUAUUAUGUUAUGUUUGAAUCUUUGGCAUGUGGUUUUUCUUCUUCUUUACCUUUUAAGUUUUGACUGUAGUUUCAGAUCAUGUAGGUUUCGAUUCAAUUCAAUUCUGUUUGUUGUUAAUUUAUGUGGUUCAAAUGUUUGAUUGAUUGAUUGAAUGAAUUGUUGUAUAUAUGUAGUAACUUCAUAGUUAGGAUCUUGUGAUGGUAAACAUUAUUAUUUGAUACAUCUUAUUAACUUUGAUUAGACUGAUAGAGGGGACAUGAGACAACUGAUUUGGAUGGGGAUUUGAUUACAACUGUUUGUGCAGUGGUUGAGUGUGUAAAUAAGCUUGUUUAUGUUCGUUCUUUGAGGGCAAAGUAUUUGCAAUUCAAUUGCCUUCAAAUUUUUGAAGAAUUGCUUACAUUUCAAAACAUACUAGUGAGGUUAAUGAUACUAUAGGUAUAAGUCUGAGAUUGGUGAUAUUAUAGUAGGCAGAGUAAUUGAGGUAAAGAACAAAUUUUUAUCCAAUUUGUGUUAUAUGACAACUGUUUUUUCCUUUUUGUUGAUCUGGCUUGAGUCAUCUAUUAUACAUAAAUGUCAAAUGCGUACACCAUGAUUACUAACUUUGCUAAAAAUAGUUUUUUAUGUUAUGGUUGCUCCUAAGCGUUGGAGAUUGGAGAUAAACUUUAGUCAGGAUGCGGUCAUGAUGAUUUCAUCGAUGAACUUGCUUGAUGGCAUCCAGUUAUAUACGAAUCCUCAUUCUACAUAAUCUAUUGAACAUCUCCCAAGUAGUGGUUGUUCUAUUUUAAAUUUUUUAGCAUGAAACUAUGUUUGCCAUUGGUAUUGUGCUAGAAUAACUUGGAUUUUGAUCACCAUAAGAAGUCCUAUAAGAGUACUUUAAUUUAUACAAGUAAUCUUUCUUGAUCAUGAGCAAGGGCAUUGUCAUUCGAAAGUAAUAAAAGCAUUAGUAGAACAGGCAGAAAAGCUCACUCUUAGCUCCAGAGCCUUCUAAAUUAUACAUUGCGAUUGACGUUAAAUUAAUUUAAUGGCUCGACUUUAGUGCUAUUAGAAUUAAAAUUUUAUAGUCCAAUUUUCUUAUAAAUAGUCUUGACAGUACUGUACUACAACCUCCUCCUGUGAUACCUUCUACUUCUUUGGAGUGAAUAUGACCUAAGAAAUCUUAUUUGUGUUGCUAGUAUUAUAUGUGUACCUCAGCGUCUGUUGUUGAAUCUUUAGUGAGACUACAUUGUGUAAAAAGGGCUUGUAUGAAGUAUGGGUCGAAAACAGAUGCAUUUCGAAGGCAAGGGCAGGCCUGGUAUAUUUUCUCAUCUCGGUAACUUAGCUUUCUUAGUUUAUUCUUUUUCAUACUAUCUUUAUAUCUUACUUUUUUCACGCGCAUAUUUAUUGACAAAACUAAUUAUUUAGCCACUGUAGUUGGCAAGUUUUAUUUAAUACACCACUGAACUUUUAAUUUUUUUUAAAUUACCCCAUUGAACUAAUUAUUAUUUUCAAAUUAGGUCACUCCGUUAAUAAAAUUAGACAGACGUUAACAUUUUAUCUAUGUGGCUCUGGAAAAAAAAUACAAAAAUUAAAAAUAUUACAUGUGGCAAAAAAAUAAAAAAAAACUUAAAAGUAAAAAUAAAAAAAUCACCCUCAUUAAAAGCUAGCUCAUUACACGAGUAUACAUAAAACCUAGACAACAUAUAGACAACCCUAAAAUCAUUUACCUUGGAAUCGAAACCAAAUCCCACAAAAACUUUAUCAGAAAUGGAAUUGAUUUGCACAUUCGGGUAGCCGGAUUCCACAAAACAAUUAUAAAUCCAUGCGAGGGAUCACAGAGACAAAUUAAGCCAUUAAUCGAACCAACUAGCUCCAUUUAAUUUGAAGAAGGUUUCGAGGAAAUGGAGAGUUAAAGAGGUUCGAUUGAAUCAAUGUGGAAGAUGGUGAUUAUGUCAUCUAAGUGGCUGUGGACGACGAGUGAGUUGUUUUGGGGGUUUUGAGAGAUGUGGAUUAGGUGCGAUUUGAUGAAGCUAGGGCUUGAAAAGAGGGAGCAUCGUGGCUUGCAAACGCAUCAGAAGCGAAUUAGGGAUUUGAUGGGAAGACGAUUGAGGAUUUCAGCUUUUCUAUCUUUAAUCGGCCCACCCAUUUUGGAUCUGAUUUGAAGGUGUUUGCAUCUAGGUGUGGGUAGCUGGUCUCGUUGGUUUAUGGAUCUGGUCGAUCAGAUCUGGCUUCUCGACAUCUUUGGUGGUUUUGUCAAUGUUCAGGCAGAAGGUCCCUUGCUCGGAGUUGUGUUGCGUUGGUUUGGUCGUGAUUUGCUGGUUUGGGCUCUCAUGUGGUGAUUGGUCUUCCAGUGGGUUACCUUUCUAUGAUCCAUCGCCGAACUUUGGUCUGCUAGUGCUACAAUUGAUGAGUCUAUUCCCCACUUGCUUGGUUGCUGACUAAUCCAGCGAUAUCAUUUUUAUUUUUAUUUUCUUUUUCUUUUUCACAGUCACAUCAGAUAAUAACUGAAAUAAUUUAAUAGUCGUGAGUCAUAGUUAACAAAAUGAUUCAAUUUUAAAAUAAUAAUUAAUUCUAUGGGAUAAUUUAAAAAAUUAAAAGUUCAAUGGUGUAUUACAGUGGCUAAAUCAUUAGUUUUGCCCGUAUUUAUUGGUUGUAGCCAUUGUGUAACACCUGCUGUGGACUACUACUUUUUUUAUAUAAAAAAAUCAUCAUGUAUGGUUGUUAUGUAUGCUUUUGGUGUAUGUGAUGGGCUAAUUCAUAUUACUGGGGCAAUUCAAAAAACUUGACAAUCCAAGUAUAUAGAUUCAUAUUACUGUCUCAUAAUAGAUUCACAAUGCCAAUCCAAAUAUAUUUUGCUAGCAUAGUAUUCAAGUUCAUACGAGUUUUACAAGUAAUUUGUAAACCAUGUCUUGGAAACCAAUCAAAGAAUAGGAGUUGUGCGGAAUGAGGAGCAUUUGAUAGGUGUCAUAUAUAGUUUAUAAUCUCUAAUAGUUUAUUUUUCUCAUGCAAUGCAGUCUCUCUUGCUUUCCGGAAGUGGCAUGAGGAGCACUUGUUUAGAUUCAAUUUUGUUAAAAUCCUCAAUAUAUUGGUUAUAUUGAUAAUCUUUUUUGUUAUUCUAAUUUGGACUUCUUUUUAUCAUCCAAUUGGUUCCCAGAUGUUCCAUUUGACAAUGUCUUUUAUUUUUUUAUGUUUUCAUUAUCUAUACAGUUGAAUUUGAAAGAAAACGUCAAAAAGAUUAUUGGUUUCCAUGCUCAGUGAUGGACAAUGAGCCGUUUACCAAUAAGAUGUUUAAAUAACAAGUGUUUUUUUUAUCAAUAAUAAGUUGUUUAUCAAUGGAAAUAAGCUGUUUAAAUAAUAAGUUGUUUACUAAUAAAUUGUUUAAAUAAUAAGUUGUUUACUAAUAAGUUGUUUAAAUAAUAAGUUAUUUACCAAUAAACUGUUUAAAUAAUAAGUUGUUCACCAAUAAGCUAUUUAAGUAAUAAAUUAUUUACAAAUAAGUUCUUUAGAUAAUAAGCUAUUUGUUGGUUUUUGAAUUUAUGAUGUUUUGAAUGAUGACUAAUUUAAGUAUAUUAGACAUGUGCAUGGUUCAUGGUUUGUUAUAAUAUUAUUAUUAAUAUGCAUGUGUUAUGGUUAUUACAUGAACACUUGUUGAUUUCCUUCCGUUGGUAAGUUGGAAUGUUUUAAAAUUAAGGAAGAUUUGAUUUGGAGUUUAUUAAGGAAGAUUUGAUUUGGAGUUUAUUAAGGAUGAUUUGAAUUUGAGUUUAUUAAAGAAUAUUGGUAUUUAUAAUUUUUAAUGCUAUCAAAUAUUAUUAGAUGGGUUUAUAUAUGUUAUUCCAGCUGGCUCAAAUUUCCUUCAUCUAUUAUACAGAGUAUUUCGUGGGUACUAUAAUUUAUUUAAGGAUAUACUCUUGCUUAGUGGGACCCAUAACUGUUAGUGGUACUUUGUAUUCUAAUUGAGAAAGGAGUCUUACUGAAGUUGUUUAGAGUUGGUGGGUCUCAUCUUAUCUUAUCUCCUUGUUCCUUUAUUUAAGGUAUUUUGGUUUGACUUGAAAGCAUAUCCUUGAUUUACAAAAUCUGUUGGACUCUUUAAUUGUUAAUAUCAUGGGGUAUACCAACUUUGAUAUGUGUUUCCUAUUCCAUCUCUUGUUCAUAACCAUUGGUUAAUAUUGUAGCUAAUAUUAUGGGAUUUAAAUCAUCUAAUUUCUUGCUAUGGGAUUUAAAUCAUCUGAUUUAUUGCUAACAAUUAUUUUAUAGUCGUUGGGUCUCUCUUUAUAUAUAGUCUUAUUUUCACGGCUAAGCAGAGCAGGAUACAUGCAAGAAGCUAAUUCACGUUGCUAUACAGAGAAGAAUCCUAUUGAGAGCUUUCAUUGUUUAUUUCCAGUUAUUCAUUGCACUGUCUAUAAUUCUUUGUGGCUGAAAAAUAAGAAGUCUAUUGUAAUUUCUUAUAUCAUAUUCAAAGUUCAAAGCUUGUUUGGCUUGAUCGAUCCAGUAGUGGAUAGGGUUUUAAGAGAGGUUUGAUCAAAGCUUGUUUGGCUGUUCAAAGAGAGGUUUCAAGGUUGCAGAGGUGCAAAGGUCUCAGUGGUGAGAAAGGUUGCAGAGGUGCAAAGGGGGCAGAGGUGUCCAUCAGUGGAAAACUUCUUUGUAACAGGGAGUUCUUUUUAUUGUAUUUAAUUGAAUAUUAAGUUUAAUAAAAAGUGUCUCCAAUCUUAGUUGGGAUUGGACGUGGAUUACGCCACUAGGUAGAGGAUAGGGGCUGAACCACGUAAAAAUCUUGGUGUAAUUUUUACUUCUGUUUAUCUCUUUAAUUGUCAUUCACGUUCUGCACUUUUUGUUAUUCACGCCACUAAUCCAGACACUAAAGCAGACAGGUCUAGCUGUCUGAUAAUUAUAAACGAAUAACAGACACUAAAGCAG
rnacentral:lncRNA from 1 species